rnacentral:lncRNA from 1 species
GUGGCAUCAAGGAAGAUGGAUGGGGAGUGUAAGAAGAACAGAUGGACCUAUCUGGAAGAACCUGUGAAAACUGUAGUGUUAGAAGCAUGGGUGCUGAAAUUGGAUGACUGAUUUAAAUCCUGGCUCUAUCCCUUCUUUGCUGUGAAAUCCUGGGCAAACCACUUGACCUCUGUAAGUCUUAGUUUCUACCACCAUAAAAUGGAGCUAAGAAUAUACCUACCUCAUUGGGC